GACAGAGGGGGCAAGCGUUGCUCGGAAUCACUGGGCGUAAAGGGCGCGUAGGCGGGAUGGCAAGUCGGUCGUGAAAUCCUUCGGCUCAACCGAAGAACGUCGGCCGAUACUGCCGUUCUUGAGGGAUGCAGAGGAGAUUGGAAUUCCCGGUGUAGCGGUGAAAUGUGUAGAGAUCGGGAGGAGCACCGGUGGCGAAGGCGGGUCUCUGGGCAUCUCCUGACGCUGAGGCGCGAAAGCGUGGGGAGCAAACGGG
rnacentral:rRNA from 1 species